rnacentral:rRNA from 1 species
UUUGAUCCUGGCUCAGGACGAACGCUGGCGGCGUGCCUAAUACAUGCAAGUCGAGCGAGCUGAAUUCAAAGAUCCCUUCGGGGUGAUUUGUUGGACGCUAGCGGCGGAUGGGUGAGUAACACGUGGGCAAUCUGCCCUAAAGACUGGGAUACCACUUGGAAACAGGUGCUAAUACCGGAUAACAACAUGAAUCGCAUGAUUCAAGUUUGAAAGGCGGCGYAAGCUGUCACUUUAGGAUGAGCCCGCGGCGCAUUAGCUAGUUGGUGGGGUAAAGGCCUACCAAGGCAAUGAUGCGUAGCCGAGUUGAGAGACUGAUCGGCCACAUUGGGACUGAGACACGGCCCAAACUCCUACGGGAGGCAGCAGUAGGGAAUCUUCCACAAUGGACGCAAGUCUGAUGGAGCAACGCCGCGUGAGUGAAGAAGGUUUUCGGAUCGUAAAGCUCUGUUGUUGGUGAAGAAGGAUAGAGGCAGUAACUGGUCUUUAUUUGACGGUAAUCAACCAGAAAGUCACGGCUAACUACGUGCCAGCAGCC